GGCAGAGUAGUGUAAUGUGCACGUAGGGUUUUGGUCCCUGUAGAAACUGAUCAAAUAGUUUUCUGUUA
rnacentral:tRNA from 2 species